rfam:Vibrio harveyi ATCC BAA-1116 chromosome I, complete sequence.
GCGCCCUUAGCUCAGCUGGAUAGAGCACGUCCCUUCUAAGGAUGUGGUCAUAGGUUCGAAUCCUAUAGGGCGUG